rnacentral:rRNA from 1 species
AACCAGCACCUCAAGUGGUCAGGAGGAUUAUUGGGCCUAAAGCAUCCGUAGCCGGCUCUGUAAGUUUUCGGUUAAAUCCAUGUGCUCAACGCAUGGGCCGCCGAAAAUACUGCACAGCUAGGGAGUGGGAGAGGUAGACGGUACUCAGUAGGAAGGGGUAAAAUCCUUUGAUCUAUUGAUGACCACCUGUGGCGAAGGCGGUCUACCAGAACACGUUCGACGGUGAGGGAUGAAAGCUGGGGGAGCAAACCGG